rnacentral:rRNA from 1 species
AUUGAACGCUGGCGGCAGGCCUAACACAUGCAAGUCGAGCGGAGCGGCGGACGGGUGAGUAAUGCCUAGGAAUCUGCCUGGUAGUGGGGGAUAACGUCCGGAAACGGGCGCUAAUACCGCAUACUAUCAGAUGAGCCUAGGUCGGAUUAGCUAGGUGGUGGGGUAAAGGCCUACCAAGGCGACGCUCCGUAACUGGUCUGAAAGGAUGAUUAGUCACACUGGACGUGAGAUUCGGUCCAGACUCCUACGGGAGGAUGCAGUGGGGAAUAUUGGAGAAUGGGCGAAUGCCUAAUCCAGCCACGCCGCGUGUGUGAGGAAGGUCUUCGGAUUGUAAGGCACUUUAAGUUGGCAGGCGUUACCAACAGAAGAAUCACCGGCUAACUUCGUGCCAGCAGCCGCGGUAAUAC